rnacentral:rRNA from 1 species
GAUGAACGCUGGCGGCGUGCUUAACACAUGCAAAUCGAACGGAAAGGCUCCUGCUUGCAGGGGUACUCGAGUGGCGAACGGGUGAGUAACACGUGGGUGAUCUGCCCUGCACUUCGGGAUAAGCCUGGGAAACUGGGUCUAAUACCGGAUAGGACCACAUUUUGGAUGGUGUGGUGGAAAGUUUUUCGGUGUGGGAUGAGCUCGCGGCCUAUCAGCUUGUUGGUGGGGUAAUGGCCUACCAAGGCGUCGACGGGUAGCCGGCCUGAGAGGGUGUACGGCCACAUUGGGACUGAGGUACGGCCCAGACUCCUACGGGAGGCAGCAGGGGGGAAUAUUGCACAAUGGGCGCAAGCCUGAUGCAGCGACGCCGCGUGGGGGAUGACGGCCUUCGGGUUGUAAACUCCUUUCGAUAGGGACGAAGCGCAAGUGACGGUACCUGGAGAAGAAGCACCGGCUAACUACGUG